rnacentral:rRNA from 1 species
CCUACGGGGGGCAGCAGUGGGGGAUAUUGCACAAUGGGGGGAACCCUGAUGCAGCGACGCCGCGUGGGUGAAGGAGUGCUUCGGUAUGUAAAGCCCUAUCGGCAGGGAAGAAGCAAGACGGUACCUGACUAAGAAGCCCCGGCUAACUACGUGCCAGCAGCCGCGGUAAUACGUAGGGGGCGAGCGUUAUCCGGAUUCACUGGGUGUAAAGGGAGCGUAGACGGCCAUGCAAGCCAGGGGUGAAAGCCCGGGGCUCAACCCCGGGACUGCCCUGGGAACUGCAUGGCUGGAGUGCGGGAGGGGCAGGCGGAAUUCCUGGUGUAGCGGUGAAAUGCGUAGAUAUCAGGAGGAACACCGGCGGCGAAGGCGGCCUGCUGGACCGCGACUGACGUUGAGGCUCGAAAGCGUGGGGAGCGAACAGGAUUAGAUACCCGAGUAGUC